UAACUAAUUAUCUUAUGUUGCCAUGUGAAAGUUGAAAGUGCGCGUGACGCAUAAUCGACUCUUCGAGCCUGAGAUCUAAUUUCAAUCUUAUUGUUUGUUGUAGUUACUUUGUCUCAGGCAACAGACUUGCAGAAAAUGGUGAAAGUACACAUUUUAUAUUGUGGAGGGUGAGGGUACAAGCCCAAGGCCGACAAGCUGAAGCAGGUGUUGGACCAGAAGUUUCCAGGCAAGAUACAAAUGUCUAUGGAAGCUACUCCUGGUACCACCGGCUGGUUUGAGGUCACCGUGGAAGGCAAGCUGGUACACUCCAAGAAGGGGGGUGAUGGGUAUGUGGACUCAGACAGCAAGACAAACAAAAUAGUGGAAGCAGUCAAGGCCGCGUUGAAAUGAAUGACCUUGUGUAGCUGGGCACGGAAGGAAUGG